rnacentral:rRNA from 1 species
AGAGCAUGAUACUGGCUCAGAACGAACGCUGGCAGCGUGCCUUAUACAUGCAAGUCGAGCGAGAAACUGCACUUCGGUGCAGGAGUAGAGCGGCAAAAGGGUGAGUAACGCAUGGGUAACCUGCCUUGUGGAGCGGAAUAACGGCGCCCCGAAAGGGGCUUUAGCGAAAGUGCCGCUAAUACCGCAUAAUGAUGCUUAGGCGCCCGCUUAAUCGUAAGUGGGGACGCCCGGGUGUUCAAAGGUGCUACCUUCGGGUAGUUUCCGCCACAAGAGGGGCCUGUGUCCUAUUAGCUAGUUGGUGGGGUAAUGGCCUACCAAGGCGAUGAUGGGUAGCCGGCGUGAGAGCGUGACCGGCCACACUGGGACUGAGACACUGCCCAGAGCCCCACGGGGCGCAGCAGUAGGGAAUUUUCCACAAUGGGCGAAAGCCUGAUGGAGCGACGCUGCGUGGAGGAAGAAGGCCUUCGGGUUGUAAACUCCUGUCAGAGGUUAUGAAGCCACUUCGGUGGUUGACAAAGGCCUCAAAGGAAGCCAUGGCUAACUCCGUGCCAGCAGCCGCGGUAACUCGGAGAUGGCGAGCGUUGUUCGGAUUUACUGGGCGUAAAGCGCGCGUAGGCGGCGCGGUAAGUUGGAGGUGAAAUCCCGAGGCUCAACCUCGGAACUGCCCCCAAAACUACUGUGCUAGAGGACGACAGGGGAGAGUGGAACUCAUGGUGGAGCGGUGGAAUGCGUAGAUAUCAUGGGGAACGCCGGUGGCGAAAGCGACUCUCUGGGUCGGUCCUGACGCUGAGGUGCGAAAGCCAGGGGAGCGAACGGGAUUAGAUACCCCGGUAGUCCUGGCCGUAAACGAUGGCCACUUGGCAGUAGGGGACCAACCUUUACUGCCGUAGCUAACGCGUUAAGUGCCCCGCCUGGGUAGUACGACCGCAAGGUUAAAACUCAAAGUAAUUGACGGGGGCUCGCACAAGCGGUGGAGCAUGUUCCUUAAUUCGAUUCAACGCGAGGAACCUUACCAAGGCUUGACAUGCUAGUGGUACGAACCUGAAAGGGUUAGGACCCUGUUUUGCAGGGAGCUAGCACAGGUGUUGCAUGGCUGUCGUCCGUUCGUAUCGUGAGAUGUUGGGUUAAGUCCCGCAACGAGCGAAACCCUUGUUCUUAGUUGCUAACGCGUAAUGGCGAGGACUCUAAGGAGACUGCCGGUGUCAAACCGGAGGAAGGUGGGGAUGACGUCAAGUCAUCAUGGCCCUUACGCCUUGGGCUGGAAACAUGCUACAAUGGCCGGUACAAUGGGAUGCCAAGUCGCAAGACGGAGCGAAGCCCUAAAAGCCGGCCCCAGUUCGGAUCGGGGGCUGCAACCCGCCCCCGUGAAGUCGGAAUCGCUAGUAAUCGCGGAUCAGCCACGCCGCGGUGAAUAUGUGCCCGAGCCUUGUACACACCGCCCGUCAAGCCACGGGAGCUGGGAGCGCGCGAAGUCAUGGGUCCAACCUGCUUGCAGGAGGGCACUGUGCCCACCGUGAAUCCAGCGACUGGGACC